rnacentral:lncRNA from 1 species
AUGGCCCAAUUCCAAUCCCAAGACCUCCCACAACUCCAGAUUAUUCACCCUCCAGCAUUCUUCACUCAUUUCCAAUCUGAGUUGUCCAAAAAGUUCCAUAUCCUCCAUGCAGGGGAGUCACCACUCCAUCUAGACCAGUACUUGACCACCUAUGCAGGUUCAGUCCAAGCCAUGCUUUGCUACCAUGCCACUCAGGUCAAUGGGGACCUCCUCCGGCUGCUACCGGCAUUGAAACUUGUUUUGACUUGCACUUCUGGUGUCAACCACAUCGAUGUUGUAGAGUGCAGGCGGCGUGGAAUUGCCAUAGCCACUGCCAGAAGUGUGUACUCAGAAGAUGUUGCUGAUAUUGGUGUUGGUUUGUUCCUUGAUGUGCAGAGAAAAAUUUCAGCAGUAGAUCGGUAUGUGAGGCAAGGGCUUUGGACUAGCAAAGGAAAUUACCCUCUUGGUUCCUAG